rnacentral:rRNA from 1 species
UAAGGAAUAUUGGUCAAUGGGCGGAAGCCUGAACCAGCCAUGCCGCGUGCAGGAAGACGGCCCUACGGGUUGUAAACUGCUUUUAUACGGGAAUAAACCUACUUACGUGUAAGUAGCUGAAUGUACUGUAAGAAUAAGGAUCGGCUAACUCCGUGCCAGCAGCCGCGGUAAUACGGAGGAUCCAAGCGUUAUCCGGAUUUAUUGGGUUUAAAGGGUGCGUAGGUGGCCUGUUAAGUCAGGGGUGAAAGACGGUAGCUUAACUAUCGCAGUGCCCUUGAUACUGAUGGGCUUGAAUGAACUAGAGGUAGGCGGAAUGUGACAAGUAGCGGUGAAAUGCAUAGAUAUGUCACAGAACACCAAUUGCGAAGGCAGCUUACUACGGUUUUAUUGACACUGAGGCACGAAAGCGUGGGGAUCAAACAGGAUUAGAUACCCUGGUAGUCCACGCCCUAAACGAUGAAUACUCGAUGUUGGCGAUAUACGGUCAGCGUCUAAGCGAAAGCGUUAAGUAUUCCACCUGGGGAAUACGCCCGCAAGGGUG